rnacentral:rRNA from 1 species
GACAGAGGGUGCAAACGUUUGUUCGGAAUUACUGGGCGUAAAGCGCGUGUAGGCUGCUUGGAAAGUCGGAUGUGAAAGCCCUGGGCUCAACCUAGGAAGUGCAUUCGAAACUUCCAGCUGGAGUGCUGGAGAGGAAGGCGGAAUUCUCGGUGUAGAGGUGAAAUUCGUAGAUAUCGAGAGGAACACCGGUGGCGAAGGCGGCCUUCUGGACAGCUACUGACGCUGAGACGCGAAAGCGUGGGGAGCAAACAGG